ACUCUCAACCACUGCGCCACCAGGGAAGCCCAGAAAUUAACCUUUUAAGUGGAACUAGAGCCAUCUCUUUGUCUAUGGUUUUGUUCUCUAUUACUGAAGCCUGCUGCUGCAUUUUCCUGGAUUGACAUUAAACAUUGAUGUAUCUCUAGAAAUGUCAGCAGGGGAUAACAGAAUAAUCAUUGUUGAUUUUAUAACACUGUAUUCACUAUAUGUUUUGUGCAGUGACUUUGCAAAACAACUUCCGUAAGGUAUCAUGGUAUGGUCACUAGUUCUCUAGAUGUUUUUGAAGAUUUAUAUAGUGCACUUUGGCCUUGGAACCCAACGGAUUUACAUAUAUUCUUUGGAAACCUAAUCUAUAAAUCAAGAAAGUACUUAUCUACAGAUAUUAUUCAUUCCUUCAGUAAAUCAGAGAUUUGACAUCAUGUAUUGGCUGCAAGCAUCAUAUAUAACGCUAGGGGGUGAUACAAUAUAACCACAAGAAAGGAACAUAGCCUGGCAAUGAAGUGUAAGGUUUGGAAGAUUCAUCUUGAGGGCGUAUAUAAAAUGGUUAAGCGCUUGUGUAAAAUUAAAGUUUAGUAAGUAUUAAGUUAUUUUUAAAUUUGCAUAAUGUCAUCAUGUGACCAAGCAGACUAAGUAAAGAAAGAGACCAAAGGAUUUAAUAAUUACAGGUCUUUUGGGACAAACAACCCACUAAUAUAUAUUUAAGAUGAACUUGGGAGUAUUUUCUAGGGUUUGCUAGUUUGAAGAGAACAUUUUAAUUUAGUAUUUUCAUUUUGUUAAUAAUACUAAAAACUCUUUUUACCAGUUGUAAAAACAAAACUCUUCUGUAGUGAUAAUGCAUUUAAUUGAAUAAGAUUUUAUUUAUCAAGCAUUUGUCAAACUUAGGGUGUUCAGGUCUCUAAGCACAUUUUCAGAGUCUUCAAGAAUUUUUUUUUCCCUUUCAGAAGGUCAGUACAGGAGGAAAGUAUUAAAUAAAUGCACUGUCAAAAACACUGGGCUUUCCAAUUGAGUAACUAGAGCAAUGACACAAGCCAGUGGGUGAACCUAAGUGAGAGCAUGGCUCCCCAGAAGUAGGUCAAAAAAUUACACUGACGCAGGGAGAUGCCCUAAUGGCGCUACCACUGGGCAGAGCCAACAGGUUGCUGAGUGGAGGUGUAGCUUGAAAGGGAGCCAGUAGGAGAGGGGCUUCUCUCUGUUGAGAGGGAGCUGUGUGUGUGUGUGUGUGUGUGUGUGUGUGUGUGUGCAUGCAUGAGUGUGCACACAUGCACAUGAAAUGAUGUAAUUUGUUAAAAUUCAAAGGCCAGUAUUACAGGGUUGAUGUGGGUCUUCACUUCUCUUUCCUGAUGUUCUUUUUUCUAAGUCUUUUCUCCUUCAAGCAGCUAUUCCUUAACUCAUCGACUCAAGGCUGUUCUGCUCACAAAUUUCCCUGCUUUCGUUUUAAGUCGUGAUUAGCAGCGGGAGGGUUUUAUCAGGAAUACCUAACACAUGCGCCUUGUGGGGAGCCUGACUGUUCUAAGGGCUUGACCCGUAUAAACUCAUGUAAUCCUCACGACAGCCUGCACUGGCUGACUGUGGGACCAUAUUUUCCGACGCUCUUCAUGACUUGACUCCUGUUUACCUUUCCAGUCUUAUCUGUUUUCAUGUUCUGUUUCCACUGUAAGCACCUAACUUGCUCCAGUUACUUGAACGCACUGUGCUUUAGGACCAUAGCAAGUAUUGACUGUGCUCUUUCUGUUGUCGAUUCUCCUUUGCUCCUUCAUUGUCACCCUUUCUCCUCACACCAGGCUCAUGGGAUGAAUACAAUUGUUUCCUCCAUUUUACAGACGAGGAAAAAGCUUAGGGAAGUUAAAUGUUAUGUUUAAGGUCACACACUUCAGAGAGAGGUGAUAAUGUGGAAAAAGGAUGAACUUUGAACCUAGAAGUUCCGUUAUCGAACUUUAACUCUGUUAUUUUACCGGCUUCAACUUCAGAGAACAUUUUCUUUUUACAGAUAAAGAGACUGAGGUUUUUUGAGAGUGAUAUAUUGUGAAGGAUAUUGGUGAUGGGAGGGCCAACCUAGGCAUGAGACAAAGGCAUAAAAUUAGGGAAGGAACAGCAGAAUGGAAAGGAAAGAAAGUUUUCAAGAAAUAACGUUAACAAAGUGCAAACAGGACUCCACUGAUUAAAUUGGGGCACGAGCCCAUUCUGCGCCCCAGGCUCAGGACCCUGGGCACUUUGUAUCUGAUACAGGAAGAUGGGUGUAAAGAAUGGACAGCAGAGGGAGCCCUGGAUACGUUUUGCUCCUCAAGCCUGGCCUCAGAAGGACGAGAAAGUGCCGUUUUGUCUGGCGCUCCCUGCCCACGAGCUCAUUUCUCCCCAUUCUCGUCUUUACUCAGUGCCUGUGUAUCAGAGUGCCUAUGCAGUGCUAGGAUUGUGCCUCUCCGACCGAGGCCCCGUGGAGGUUUCUGCUUUACUCCUCUUCACUAGAUGGGGAAACUAAACCUCAAAGGAGUUGACUCACUGCCCCUAGUUCAGUUACACAAGGUUAAGUCAUUGAGUCACGAUUUCACUGCUUAGGGCUCUGCGGUUCUAAAGUCUAUCCUCCUCAUCCCAAAGUCACUUUUCUGUGCCCCUGAAUCUUUUAUGGGCCUGUAUUCCCUCUCUGCAAAUGCAAUCCUGGGUACUAACAGGGUUAAAAAGACAUUCUCAGAGUAGCAUAGUUGAUUCAUUUUAGCAGGGACAUUUUAAAAACACAGUGCUUUAACUCAAAGGAGUUACCCCAUACCCAGCAAGCCUGUAGGAGAGAAAAGAGGGGGGCGGUGGCAAUGGUAGCACCAAGGGGUCGAUUUGAGGGCGUUAAACUCUGCUCAUACUUUCCAUUUGCCUCCUCUCUUUCUUAUAAACAACUGACAUUAUCUCACUCUUAUGGCUAAAACUUUGCAAAUACCGAUUCAAAACUCUACCCUGGCUGCCCCUUUCCCUAAACUCCACCGUGGCAGCCUUUACCAGCAGUACUCAGACCUUCCUCCUGUGAGUGACGAUGGGUUAGCACACUUGGGGAUGGACCCCCAAAAAGAAUGAGCUCCAUCUUUACAUCUUCAGCUGCUACAAAAUAAAGGCUCCUGUCUUCUCCCCUUCCUCCUCUGGGACCCCACUGUGCAGCUCGGCAUGGGACCAAGUCCCGGUGGGGAGUGGGGGAGGGGAUCGGCAAAGACUUGGUGACAGGCUGAUUGAUGGGUUUCCCGCCUCUGCUUGCCCUCCUGCCCACUCCUGCAGGCUCUGGCCCAGGUCCACCCUCCGGCCGCCUGAGGGGUCUGCUUUUCUUUGAGUCAGCACCAAUGAGUUAGGGCCCAGAUCAGCUGGGGGUAGGGGGGAGUACUGCAGGACACUCCCCUGCAGGGGAGGGAGUAAGAAUUUAGUUGCCCAAAGGAAGGCAUGGUGAAGAGCAUCUGAAUGGGGGGCACUGGAGUUGUGAUCAGAGGAGCCUGAGCAGGGGGUUGAUUUGCUGAUGUCAUUGACCACCAGCCGUUGGUAAAACUCUUUCUCGUAGAAAAACAUGAGGGGUUACUCACAUCAUAUUGCUUAGGGCCCUAAAAAAAAUCCAUCUUGUCCCUCUCAUGCUUCAACUCUCCUCUUAGGGAUGCCAAAAUGGAACCAAAUCUCUGUGAACUCAGUCAGCUAACGGAAGAUGAGAAGGCAGGCUUAUAGAUCCGAACCACAAAGGAAGAUGAAAGAAUCUGGCUGAUGAAGUCCUCCACCCUGAGAAGAGGAAG